GAAAGAGAUGCAAGAGAUGUGUGUGUGUUUGUGUGUGGAGUUGUCCAUUCACUGGUGCCGUUGCUGAGCUGUUUCUGUGUCUCGUCUACCUCUCUGGCUCUCGUGGUGACUUAUGGUGCGUGUGCUGCUUUAGGACGGAGGACCAAACGUACUCAUUAAGAUUGGUAAAUACGUGAUGCACAACUUCAGAGCCAAAUGAAUCCGGUAGCAAACAGGUUUUUAUGACAUUUCAGAGGACACUGGAAAGAUCUCCGGUCUCUGGUACUAUGAUUACCUCUGGUAUGAGCUUCCCCUUAGCAGUGUGCCGAUGAUGAUGAUGAUGGUGAUGAUGAGGAUAGGUCAUAAGAGCGGAGACGCCCUGUUGAUGUGCCCGUAUGGUCCUAUAGUACCCGACCCAUACAGAACUCAUCUGAGAGACAGUGACUCUGAGUUAAAAUAAUGUUCCCGAUUCAAUACUAGUUAAGCUGUAUGUACAGCAUGUUGCAUUCUGUCAAUAUAGAAGAUAAAAGAUCAAACAAUUACAUUUACAUUAAUGCACUUACAAUAGAAGUCUAUGGGGCAAGUGUACUAUAGCAGAAAUGUGAAGCUAGUAUUUAUUCUUCCAAGAAAUAAUGUUUUAGUCUUGUGGUUAUAUGUUUGAAACAAUGUGCAUUUUAAUGUUAAUUCCAAUGCAAUGCCCCAUAGACUUGCAUUGCAUUUCUGUACAAGCUCAAUAUGUUUGUUUUUGUUUAAAAUAUUUCUUGUAAUUUUCUAUUUAUAUCUCACAAUUGUGACUUUAUUUAUUGAAAUUGGGUGUUUACUUCUUAUUUCUAGUCAUUUUCCCCCAUAAUUGUGUUUAUAUCACACAUAUUUCACUUUAUUUCUCACAAUUGUGGAUUUGUAUCUCACAUUUGCGUGUUUUAUCUAGUAAUUCUGAUUUUAUUUCUGGUAAUUGCAUAUUUAAAUCUCGCAAUUGCAACUUUCUCGUAAUUGUGUUUAUAUCACGCAGUUGUGUCUUUAUUUCUCAUAAUUCUGAUGUUGUUUUUUCAUAAUUGUGUAUUUAUAUUUAGUUAUUGCCAACUUUACUUCUUGUAAUUGUGUGUCUUAUUUCUUGCAAUUAUGUCUUUUUUUCUUGUAAUUCUGAUUUUAUUUAUCUUAAUUGCGUAUUUACUCUAUUGCAAUUGCAACUGGUAACUGUGUUUAUAUCAUGCAAUUGCAACUUUAUUUCUCACAGUUGUGGGUUUGUAUCUCACAAAUUGCAUCUUUAUUUCUUGUAAUUCUGAAUUUAUUUAUUGUAAUUGUGAUUUUAUUUCUGUAAUUGUGAUUUUAUUUCUUGUAAUUCUGAAUGUAUUUCUUGUAAUUGUGAUUUUUUUUUCUUGUAAUCUUGUUUAUGUCACACAGUUGUGACUUUAUAUCUCAAUUGUGGGUUUGUAUCAUGCAAAUGUGUCUAUUUCUUGUAAUUCUGAAUGUAUUUCUUCUAAUUGUGAUUUUAUUUCUUGUAAUUGUGAUUUUAUUUCUUGUAAUUGUGAUUUUAUUUCUUGUAAU